AGUGAACGCUGGCGGUAGGCCUAACACAUGCAAGUCGAACGGCAGCACAGUAAGAGCUUGCUCUUACGGGUGGCGAGUGGCGGACGGGUGAGGAAUACAUCGGAAUCUACUUUUUCGUGGGGGAUAACGUAGGGAAACUUACGCUAAUACCGCAUACGACCUACGGGUGAAAGCAGGGGAUCUUCGGACCUUGCGCGAUUGAAUGAGCCGAUGUCGGAUUAGCUAGUUGGCGGGGUAAAGGCCCACCAAGGCGACGAUCCGUAGCUGGUCUGAGAGGAUGAUCAGCGACACUGGAAGUGAGACAGGGUCCAGACUCCUACGGGAGGCAGCAGUGGGGAAUAUUGGACAAUGGGCGCAAGCCUGAUCCAGCCAUACCGCGUGGGUGAAGAAGGCCUUCGGGUUGUAAAGCCCUUUUGUUGGGAAAGAAAAGCAGCAGGUUAAUACCCCGCUGUUCUGACGGUACCCAAAGAAUAAGCACCGGCUAACUUCGUG
rnacentral:rRNA from 1 species